GGAUGGUGAGGUCGUCGUCAUUCCCAGAGGAAGAAGCCAUCGUGGCAGGCGAAGGUACGGGAGGAGGAAAAGCUCCGGCUCUUGGCUGGGUGGUGAAAAACGUUGGCGGACGGCGAGCGAGCCUAACCCAAGGCGAGGCCGAUCCCAGAGGAGCAGCCCGUGAUGAGUACCACCUUCUGGGUCAUCGUGUCUGGUGAGUGUUGCUCCUGCAGCACAAGCAGCUCCAGCUGCGGAGAACCAACGCGAACAAAAGAGAAAGGAGGCGCAGGGCGGCGAGGAGACCCUUAUAAAGUCUGCUCCUUAAUCCACAGUUAUGCAAUUCAGCAGAAGCCCUGUGGACAUGGGCUGAAGAUUAUCGUUGAGCCCGGACUACACAGUGCUGCUGCCUGGGGAGGAUUUAGGCUCAUGAUAACAAGUUUAUUGGGGAGGGAGCGGCCUUAAAAGAUUUGGCUGAAAAAACAUGUCUUGUUUGAAUAAAGAUAUCCAAUCAGA